GAUUAUGGCUCAGAUUGAACGCUGGCGGCAGGCCUAACACAUGCAAGUCGAACGGUAACAGGAAGAAGCUUGCUUCUUUGCUGACGAGUGGCGGACGGGUGAGUAAUGUCUGGGAAACUGCCUGAUGGAGGGGGAUAACUACUGGAAACGGUAGCUAAUACCGCAUAACGUCGCAAGACCAAAGAGGGGACUACGUCGCU
rnacentral:rRNA from 1 species